GACGAACGCUGGCGGCGUGCUUAACACAUGCAAGUCGAACGCUGAAGCCUGGCUUUUGUUGGGUGGAUGAGUGGCGAACGGGUGAGUAACACGUGAGUAACCUGCCCUCUUCUUUGGGAUAACGCCCGGAAACGGGUGCUAAUACUGGAUAUUCACUUGCCUUCGCAUGGGGGUGGGUGGAAAGGGUUUUUUCUGGUGGGGGAUGGGCUCGCGGCCUAUCAGCUUGUUGGUGGGGUGAUGGCUUACCAAGGCUUUGACGGGUAGCCGGCCUGAGAGGGUGACCGGUCACAUUGGGACUGAGAUACGGCCCAGACUCCUACGGGAGGCAGCAGUGGGGAAUAUUGCACAAUGGGCGCAAGCCUGAUGCAGCGACGCCGCGUGAGGGAUGGAGGCCUUCGGGUUGUGAACCUCUUUCGCUCAUGGUCAAGCCGCAACUCAUGGUUGUGGUGAGGGUAGUGGGUAAAGAAGCGCCGGCUAACUACGUGCCAGCAGCCGCGGUAAUACGUAGGGCGCGAGCGUUGUCCGGAAUUAUUGGGCGUAAAGGGCUUGUAGGCGGUUGGUCGCGUCUGCCGUGAAAUCCUCUGGCUUAACUGGGGGCGUGCGGUGGGUACGGGCUGGCUUGAGUGCGGUAGGGGAGACUGGAACUCCUGGUGUAGCGGUGGAAUGCGCAGAUAUCAGGAAGAACACCGGUGGCGAAGGCGGGUCUCUGGGCCGUUACUGACGCUGAGGAGNNAAAGCGUGGGGAGCGAACAGG
rnacentral:rRNA from 1 species